AGUAACGCGUAGGUAACCUGCCUGGUAGCGGGGGAUAACUAUUGGAAACGAUAGCUAAUACCCGCAUAAUAGAAGAUGUUGCAUGACAUUUGCUUAAAAAGGUGCAAUUGCAUCACUACCAGAUGGACCUGCGUUGUAUUAGCUAGUUGGUGAGGUAACGGCUCACCAAGGCAACGAUACAUAGCCGACCUGAGAGGGUGAUCGGCCACACUGGGACUGAGACACGGCCCAGACUUCUACGGGAGGCAGCAGUAGGGAAUCUUCGGCAAUGGACGGAAGUCUGACCGAGCAACGCCGCGUGAGUGAAGAAGGUUUUCGGAUCGUAAAGCUCUGUUGUAAGAGAAGAACGAGUGUGAGAGUGGAAAGUUCACACU
rnacentral:rRNA from 1 species